CGUGUAGGCGGCUCAGCAAGUCAGACGUGAAAUCCAUCGGCUCAACUGAUGACCUGCGUUUGAAACUGCUGGACUUGAGUACGGGAGAGGAGAGCGGAAUUCUCGGUGUAGCGGUGAAAUGCGUAGAUAUCGAGAAGAACACCAGUGGCGAAGGCGGCUCUCUGGCCCGAUACUGACGCUAAGGCGCGAAAGCUAGGGAGCAAACA
rnacentral:rRNA from 1 species